rnacentral:misc_RNA from 1 species
GAUGAAGAACGCAGCGAAAUGCGAUAAGUGAUGUGAAUUGCAGAAUUCAGUGAAUCAUCGAAUCUUUGAACGCACCUUGCACCCUUUGGCAUUCCGAAGGGUAUGCUCGUUUGACUGUCAUUGUACUCUCACUCUCCCGAUACUUUUGGAUCGGGAGUGGUGGACUUGGGUGCUGCUGCUUAACUGUGGCUCGCCUUAAAUGAAGUAGUGCAACUCUCGGUUGGACAUAGUACGGCGUGAUAAGUGUCUUCGCCGGCGCCUCAUUCGAGGGUGGCCGAUCGGGAGCUCUGUGCUUCAAACUGUCUUCGGACAACAUCUGACAACUUGACCUCAAAUCGAGUAGGACUACCCGCUGAACUUAAGCAUAUCAAUAAGCGGAGGA